ACGCCGUAAACGAUGAUUACUAGGUGUCGGUGGGUAUGGACCCACCGGUGCCGCAGCAAACGCAGUAAGUAAUCCACCUGGGGAGUACGUUCGCAAGAAUGAAACUCAAAGGAAUUGACGGGGACCCGCACAAGCGGUGGAGCAUGUGGUUUAAUCCGAAGCAACGCGAAGAACCUUACCAAGUCUUGACAUCUGGAUGACAGGGACGUAACGGUCCCCUUACUUCGGUACAUCCAAGACAGGUGGUGCAUGGUUGUCGUCAGCUCGUGUCGUGAGAUGUUGGGUUAAGUCCCGCAACGAGCGCAACCCUUAUCUUCAGUAGCCGGCAGGUAAAGCCGGGCACUCUGGAGAGACUGCCGGGGAUAACCCGGAGGAAGGUGGGGAUGACGUCAAAUCAUCAUGCCCCUUAUGAUUUGGGCUACACACGUGCUACAGUGGCGUAAACAGAGGGAAGCGAGCCCGCGAGGGGGAGCAAAUCCCAAAAAUAACGUCCCAGUUCGGAUUGUAGUCUGCAACCCGACUACAUGAAGCUGGAAUCGCUAGUAAUCGCGGAUCAGAAUGCCGCGGUGAAUACGUUCCCGGGUCUUGUACACACCGCCCGUCACACCAUGGGAGUCGGAAAUGCCCGAAGUCUGUGACCUAACCGUAAGGGAGGAGCAGCCGAAGGCAGGUCGGAUGACUGGGGUGAAGUCGUAACAAGGUAGCCGUAUCGGAAGGUGCGGUUGGAUCACCUC
rnacentral:rRNA from 1 species